GGCCUGUAGCUCAGUUGGUUAGAGCAGUGGACUCAUAAUCCGAUGGCUCUAACAACUUCGCUACUAUCUUUCUUCGCUGUAACAACCACUUACGUUUCGCCUCCA
rnacentral:tRNA from 1 species